UACACAACCUUGUAAGAGAAUGUCUGUCAAUGCUUUCAGCAGAAUUUAGAAACACAACACUUCCUAAACAGAUAUUUUGAGGCUGUGAGGUUGAACGUUUGAGAGUAUAUCAGUGUGUUUGUUUGUGGUCUUUCUGUUUCUAGGUGGAAGCUGAAUCAGUGAGGAUGACUCCUGCUCCUGUCAUCUCUAAGCUCCUCACACAUCUUUACCUGCACAUGAGGAAAAUCACUCCUGUAGAAUGCAGAUGUUCAGAGGGAGAUGAUGCCACAUCUGGUCCAGCUGAUGGAAGGUCUUGAAGUUCUCUGACUGGCCUGGACUGAAGAUGGUCGUCUCACUGUAUUUAAGGUUCAGAUGCUCAGUAACAAACUCCACCAAUGAGCCAACAGGGAAGCUUUAGGUUUAUUAAAUGUUGCUAUGAAGGUAUCGCUGUUUUUCUUUGUGAAUGCAAUGAGCUCCAACUGAAACUUGAAUUAGAACUUAGAAGUAAAUCCUUCCAUCUGAAAGGAUUUAGUUGCAUUAAUAACCUCAUAACAUUCUAAUUUUUAUUCCAGUCUUGGUUGAAAUUAGAAUCUCUGUAUUGAUUCAGGUAAAAACUGAACUUCACAGCAUGUUGGAGCAAAACAACCAGAUGAAAACUGUGAUGGUGUUGGAUUGUCAGACCGUAAUGUUGCAGCUCAAAGCAGCUUUUCUAGCUCAGUUCAUUCUGACAUUCAGCUAUGAAUCAACACAGCAGAUGGUGAUCCAUGCUGUGGAAGUCUCACAUCUCCUGAUUUAGUGGAGCUGCUUUGCACUUUUUACACUGUUUAUUCACCAACACUUUAUUUAAUAAAAGUCCCAUCUAGUUUUUAUGAGGAAUGUGAUGUUUUAAUUUCUCUGUUAAUAACUGCAGUCUAAUGGAACAGCUGGAGUUGUAACAUCUGUCCUGAUAUUGAUCAUGAAGUAUUGAUCACAAUACUUAUGGUUAGCAGUCAUCCCUGAAGUUUUACAUUAAAAUCUUUACUUGUGUUGUGAACUUUGGUAAGAAGCAGAAACAUUAGCGUUGCCAUGGAUACAUGAGUGUUAAAUUCUGUCCAUGUUUCCAUUUUGGGAAAUGCAGUCCAGUUCCAGAAUGUGGAGGAAUUUAGUCUCAAUCACAGACAACAAAUAUUAUCUGAAAGUCAGGUUAUUGUUGUUUAUCAGCACAAUACAAAAAGAUUAAUGUUAGAAAUAUUCCAGUUAAGACUCUAGAAUAUCAUGAUUUAUGUAAAUUUUCCUCAAUAAUAUGAAUGUUCAGGUUAAGAUUGUACAGUGAUAUUAUGUAAGUUUAGCUGAUUAACGUUUAUGACUCUGCACUAAAAUAUUAUUUAAAUUGACAUCAUUAUUACAAUAUUUAGGGUCAGACCCUACAGUAUUGAGAUUAAGAAAUCAAAUAUUCUAUAAAAUGUAAAUACACUGAACUCAUUUGGAUAUAUUUAAGUGAGACUCUACAAUAUUAUUUGACACAAAUCUAUCUAGAUUUUAAUCAUUUUUACUCCAAACAUUUACUUUACUGAUUUAAACAUUAAAAUCACUCCUUUCUAAUCCUCUGCUGUAUGUUCAAACAUGAGGCCUGAAAUAGAGAAACACACAAGUAUCUGAUUGAAGGAACUUCUGCAGAGUCCUGGUUCCAGAACAUGAUGAUAGAAUUAUAGACAAACUUUAACAAAAGCUGCCUGAGAGUUUACAGGUUUUUAUGUUAGAUUUCUUCAGUAAUUUAAUGAGAGUUAUCAGCAAAAAUCAAGUGUUCAUUUGAUGAACUUAAUUUCCUAAAACAUCCAGAAUUGGAGCUCAUAUCUUUGGCAGUUGUAAAGUUUCUGCUCCUUCAAAGUUCACAACACAAUGAACGAAUUCCUAAAACACUCUCAAUGCUGGAGAGCAUUUGUGAUGCUGAAGCAGUGACCAGUUUUUCUGUUUCUUCUCUGGAGAUGCACAAUGAGGGACGUCUGCAGCGACUGAGAAAGAGUCUCACCACAUCCUGACAUGAGGAAAAGACUUUAUUGAAGACUACAAUGAGGAAAAUUAUCAGACAGCAGACGGCUGCAUUCAAGGUGAGCUCUGAACAUUUGAUCUGGAACAGGAAUUCAAUAACGGCAGCAUGAGCUUCAUUUCAGUCUGUAGCUGCUGAAUUCAUGGAUGAAUCAUCUGGCACUAGAGAGGAAGACCAUCAAACAUCCAUGUCAGCUGAUGGAGGUCCAAGAGUCUCACCAAACAAACAACCUACAGAGUGAAGACCUCAAAUCUGAUUGGACGGCCUCCUAUUCAGCCACAUUUUAGGCUGUUAGAUUGUUCCAGAUAAGACAAGUACAAGAUUCUUCAGAGCCGUUCUACCACGAGCCUGACAGGAAGAACUCCAACAGCUACUGAAUGUUCCUGUGGUCCCCUCAAGGCUACAGGAGGAGCCCUACGAGGACGAGCCGGUCCACCUGAUGGAGGCCAGUCGCUGCGGUUCAAAGCCAACACCGACUACGUGGACUUCUACUGGACCACACGGAGGCCUUCAAACCGGACCAACAAGUUCAGCGACUCCCCGACUCGUGGGUCUGAGGAUGCCGCCGAGCCUCGGUCCAGCCGGCCUCCUGUCUGUGGGUGUUUGAUUGCUGAGAGGUUUGUGGAUGCAUGUGAACGUGUCUGUGUUGAAACAGCAGCUUUUGACUCACUAACACCGGGAAAAACCAAGAGCUCCUUUAUUUGUGACUUCCACUAAAAAAAACUGAUGAAAAUAAGUUUGCCAGGGUUCUGACUGAUAUCAGAUUAUUAAAUAAUGAAAAUAAAAAUUUAAAUAUUCCUUUAAACAAUCCUUUUAGGUCUACGUUUCCUUGACACUGACUUCUUGGUAUUUUGGGUGGAAUAUACCAUUAAGCCCAAUGUUCAAGGGUUCUUCUGGGAAUAUACCAUUAAACCAACCUUUUAGGUACCGUAAAUGUUCCUGGAUGUUGGGUAUAAUAUUCCAUCAGAUAAACCUUUUAGGUCUACAUUGGAAGAUUUUAGAGUAGAAUAUUACUCCAAACCAUCCUUUAGGUCUACAUUUAAGGUGGAAUACUCCUUCAUACCAAGAUUUUUUGGUCUACAUUGAAGGCUUUUAGGUGGAAUAUUCCUUUGAACGAACUUUUUAAGUUAAUGUUCAAGGAUGUUGGGUGGAAUAUACCAUCAGACCAACCUCCAAGGUCUACUGUAGUGAAUUUUAGGUGGAAUAUACCAUUAAGGUCGAUGUGUGAGGACCUUGUAGGUGGAAUACUCCCUGAAACCAACCUUUUAGGUCAACAUGCAAAGAUUUAAGGUGGAAUAUUCCUUUAAAUCAACCUAAAUUUCAUGUUUUGAUCAUUAACAAGUGAGAAACCUCAAUCCAGACUCCUCAUAAUGACGUUUGAGAUUUAAGCUGCUGUUAUUUGUUUAGUCCAGACUAAAUGACAGAAAUCCACAACUGUAAUUUUAUUUCUGGACUCGGUUAUUAAAUGUCAAAACAAUCCAUGUGACUCUAAAACUCAACAGCUUUACAAACUCUAAGAUUAAACUCUCCACAAGGAUCCAAAAUAAGUUGGACUUCUACAUGAGAGCUUUAAUUAUUCUUCAUCUACUUCCUGAAAAGUUUGGUCAAUAAAAAAGACAAAAACUAAUUUUUUCUACGGUGGCCGAGAGGUAAAAGUGUUUUGUCGCUUGUAAAUUUGUCUUGGAGGUUGUAAGAGUGUUUUGCAUUAUGUAAAUUUGGUUUGCACCUCGCGGCCACCGUAAUUUUCAGCUGAACUAAAGACAGACUUUGUGAUUUUUCUGCUCACAUGUUGUGUUGUUGUAAACUUACUCUUUCAAAUAAAUAGCCUCCUAACCCCCUGGAAACCAGCGUUUGUCCUGUUUUUGUGUUGCUCCUCGGCGACCCUAGACAGCCAGGUCCUAAUGUUUUUUGAGCAACACACCAUACUAUGACGUUUUUACAAUGAUGGUUCUACUAUGGAACCAGUUUGACAUGUUCAGGUGUUCUUUGUGUGAAAACUCAGAGAUUUCAGGGAUCAGAAGGUGGUUUUCAACUUUCUUUGUUAACUUUCUGCUUCAACUUUAAACUAAAUUUCCUUCACUAACCCAGCCCUCUGGACUUCCAGUAAGCUGUGUUCCUAUUGGCUGUCCAGGUGGCUGCUUGGUGUUAUCAGGAACACCUGAGCAGCUCAGUGUCUUCCUGCUUUAUUUAGCAGCAGUCAAACAUUUCCUCUGCUCUUCACCACUGAACCGGGUUUGGCUCCAUUGCUUUAGUUUGUUCUUUAGGCGUUGGCUUGCAGCUUCCAGCAGUAAAAUUGUCUUUAAUGUGUUUCUUGGAGUGUUUUAGGGCUUUGUACUGGAUAGUUGUCUUGGUAAAUGUGGUUCUUUAGCCACAGUUAGCACAUGGUGCUAAUGUGUGCAGUGAUUAGUGGAUUUGCUGCAGCUGAGUUGUGUCUUUAUCUUGGCUGUAGUGAGUCUUUCGAGGUUUUUGGUCAGACACAUUCUGUAUUCUUGGUUGUCCAGAAGGUAAGAGUUCCUGUCCUGAUUCUCUGUUCUCAGAGGUUCUCUGGUAGGCUGCAGGAGACUUUAGCGUUUGGGUUGUGCUAGUUUGGUUUUUGUAUGGUUUCAUUUGGAUGACUAUCUUGAGGCCCCUCCAUGUGGUUUAGUGAGGUUUUCUGCAACAGUUCUACAAAGCAGCCUGCAGCAGAAGAGACUGAGAGUUUUUAGGAAGUUCUGGAGAGCAGAUUUUAGAGCAGCAGAAACAUUUGUCAGCAGUUUGAGCAGGAGAAGGUGAGCUUCAGAGUAGAAAUGAGAAGGAAACCUUCUUUACCCGUGUGGUGAGGUCCUGUACCAAGAGUUUGAGCAGGCUGUGAAGAGUCUGUAGUUCUUUGGUCUGAAAGCACAAGAAGAGUCGACUCAUUAAAGGAGAAAACAGGAGAUAUUGUUGGUUCUUCUGUCGCUCUGCAGUUUCCUUAGACUGAAUAUCAAGUUUAUAUUUUAAAUGAUUUACCAUGUGAGCCCAAGAAGACUUCAAUAAACUCCCUCCAUCCCCUGGACACAACAUAUUUUAUUACCAUGUUAAAUCUAUUUUUUAAAUAUGUUUUUGAGUUUUAAUCAUAGUUUUAAUCAUAGUUUUUUCUCUUUGCUUGUUUAGUUUUGUCAUCUGUGUGAAAGGUGCUAAACAAAUAAAGCUGAAUUGAUAAACUGA